rnacentral:lncRNA from 1 species
GAAGAGGAAGAGGCGCCAUUUCUGCUCCGGUGCCCCCUUUGCUACGAGGCCAACAAGGUAUGGUCUUUCCGCUCCGGGCCUUGCUUUUCUUUCCUUUGUAUUUCUCUCUGUCGGGUAAUGCGAAUACAAUUUCUUGUGUGAUUUGGUACUGCCAUUUCCAAGGUUGGAAUUAGAUGUUCAUUGCAGGGCAUGGGAAGGGAAAUUUAACAUUCAGGAUCGAGUCUUGUUUUCAUUCUUCCUCAUCGAUGCAGUAGUUCACUGAUCGAUCUCGUACUCGGAUCGAUACCUUGUCCGUGUUGCCUAUGUUGCAGCCCUUUUCUCAACCUAGAAAUACCAGAUCAGAUGUUUCCCGGGUGGAUUUUGGUCGUGACUGUUGCAUCUAAUAGUUUCCCUUCUUCCCCACUGAUUGACCAUGCCGCCGUUGUCCAAACAUUUUCACUUCUUGUGGACUGGGUCGUGAUUGCGUCUACCAUGUGUUCGUUAAAAGGACCACUGGCUGCUGUCAUGGAAAGUGCCCAAUUUGUGGCGUAGGUUUUAGGCCUAAGGAUGCGAACUCGAUCUACCCAUGAUCUGGAUUUGAGUGUUGUUCGUGUUGAAGAUACUAAAUCCAUUGUGGUAUUUGAUCCAUCUUUUAGUAGACAUGCAUCUAGCUGCUUUACUUGGUUGCUAAACAAAGAAUGAACAGUAGACCAAAAUUAGCAUCAAGGCUUAGUACCUGUUGAAAGCCUUCUUUCCUAUGGGGGUUGCUGCAUGAUUGCACUCCUUUAGAUGUCACUUUCAGUACAACAACUGAAGGGGGGCAGUGAAGCACCAUUGACUGCACAUGCCAUCAGUUUGUGAAGUGAUCAUGAAUAGGACAGAAACAUGUCAUCAACAAGGUGUUGUAUGUUCGCAAAGUUGAUGUAGUCACUCUUGAUAUGCCUGAUAUCUUGAAGAUAUAUGGAAUUUAGUAGGGAGUUUUAGGAGAUAGUUAUAGUAGUUAGGUUGUGUCCAUGUAUUGAUGGUCACUCAAACUAUCAUCUUCUUCCUCAUCUCCUCUUUGAAUUCCUAAUCUCCAUCAGAAAACAGCUUGGCUUCUGAUUCGCCUUGAACUCCAUCACUGGAUCAUCUUGCAGUGAGACUGUGUUGCAGACUUGGGUGGCUAACUUCAACUCCUCUUCCUUCUUCAGUGUCUUUCUCAUCAAUGCAUAUUAAUAUUGUGUCUCCAUUAAUUUCUCCACGGCAAUAAGCCUGUGACAGAAGUCUAGUUGAUAUAAAAAUCCAGUCUCUACCGACAACUCACAUGGAAGACUGUCAUUCUUCCUGUCUCCAGAAAGUUGGCACAGCUCAGCGGAGGGCAAUACUGAAACAGUUUGCCUAUUUGAGCUCAAUAGAAAACAAAAGGAAAUGACUCCAAAAGGAACUCUAUGACCUUGAUUUAGUCCACCUCACAUUGAGAUGGUUUACUCUCACUGCAGACAUGAUAUGAUCAUUUUGAUUUUGUGUGUUUGCUUGUGCAGACUAUUGUAUUAUAGCAAUAUGAAUGAUGGGGAUGUUACAGAUUAUAUUCAACUACUGCAAUUUAGUUUAAGGAUUAACAAGUAUAUCACAUGUUUCAAGUGAAGAUCAAAC